UGAGGAAUAUUGGUCAAUGGGCGAGAGCCUGAACCAGCCAAGUAGCGUGCAGGAUGACGGCCCUAUGGGUUGUAAACUGCUUUUGUAUGGGGAUAAAGUCAAUCACGUGUGAUUGUUUGCAGGUACCAUACGAAUAAGGACCGGCUAAUUCCGUGCCAGCAGCCGCGGUAAUACGGAAGGUUCGGGCGUUAUCCGGAUUUAUUGGGUUUAAAGGGAGCGUAGGCCGGAGAUUAAGUGUGUUGUGAAAUGUAGACGCUCAACGUCUGACUUGCAGCGCAUACUGGUUUCCUUGAGUACGCACAACGUUGGCGGAAUUCGUCGUGUAGCGGUGAAAUGCUUAGAUAUGACGAAGAACUCCGAUUGCGAAGGCAGCUGACGGGAGCGCAACUGACGCUGAAGCUCGAAGGUGCGGGUAUCGAACAGGAUUAGAUACCCUGGUAGUCCGCACAGUAAACGAUGGAUGCCCGCUGUUGGUACCUAGUAUCAGCGGCUAAGCGAAAGCAUUAAGCAUCCCACCUGGGGAGUACGCCGGCAACGGUG
rnacentral:rRNA from 1 species